GAAAGGAAAGAAAAAGUAAGAAAGGUGAAAGAAAAGCCCUAAUUUAAAAGCAUUUUGAUUAUGCUGUUUGUUUUUUUUACAUUCUUUCAAAACAAUGUAUUGCUUUUGUCUAUUAAAGACAAUGUAUUUUUGUGUAUUUAUUAAUCAUCUCCAUCUCCAAAGAUUUGACUUUUAUAACAGAAAUAACAGUCUAGGCCUAAACUUUUUUUUUAAAUAUUCAACUAUGUUUUAAAUUGUUGCAGGGUGGAGCUAGCUUCAAAUUUUCAUUUUUUUUCCCUGCAUUUCCUAUGGAAUGCUAUUUUGUAUUUCCGAGAUGCUCGCAACCAUAGUUCUCUAAAUGCCUCACACUAUUAACUACCAUGAUUCUACAAAACACUGUGAUUUUUUUGAAACUUACUUUACAAAUCCCUCCUUAUCUUCAUUGACUUAUAGAAUCAUAUAAUCUUUUGAUUAUAUCAUUUUAUAUCUAGUCCAGCUUCCCUGCAAUGAACAGGGACACCCACAGCUAGAUCAGGUUUCUCAGAGCCUGGUCCAGCCUGAUUUUGAAUGUCUCCAGGAACAGGACUUCUACCACCUCUCUGAGUGAUCUGUUCCAAUGCCUCAACAUUCUUAUUGUAAAAAUUUUUUCCUUAUAUCCAAUCUAAAUUUUCUCUCCUUUAUUUUAAAACCAUUUUCCUUUGUCCUGUCGCGACAAACCCUGCUAAAGAGUCUGCCCUUUUCUUUCUUAUAGCCCCUUUUUAGACAUUGAAAGGCCAUUAUCAAGUCUCCUCAGAGCCUUCUCUUCUCCAGACUGAACAGCCCCAGCUCUCUCAGCCCAUUCUCACAGGGAAGGUGUUUCAUUGCUUGGAUCAUUUUUUUGGCCCUCCUCUGGAUGCGCUCCAACAGGUCUAUGUCUGUCCUGAGGAUCCCACAUCUGGACAUAAUACAGAGGCCUCACCAACACAGAGUAGAGGAGCAGGAUCACCUCCCUCAACCUGCUGAUCAUGCUUCCUUUGAUGCAACUGUAUGGGAACAACUGAAUCACAUCCUGAACCUCUGAUUGAUCACCUUAGGAAAGGACUGAGUCAGCUGCGGGAGCACAGGUGAAGGCAAUUCAGCUGUGUGACCAGUAGGGGUGGAGCCUGGCUCCACCUCUCCUAGACCCCACUUAAGGGCUGACUGCCCCUGGGGAAGGAUCUCUUUCUGGAGAUUGCUCCAUUUGGAGUUUUUUAUUGUGAGCCUAGAUCCUUGGAUACAGGUGAGCAUUUCUUCUUUGAUUGUCUCUUUUCCACCAUGAUAAUCUUUCCAACUAUACACCUGUGAAGUACCAUCUUAACUGUGCUACUCUUCCAACUGUACAUUUGUUGACUGUACAUGCAGCUCAGGAUAUGGUUAGCUUUCUGGGCUGCAAGGGUACAUUGCUGGCUUAUGUCCAGCUUGCCAUCCACCUCAAGUCCUUUUUGGCAGGGUUGUGCACCAUCCUUAUAUCCCCCAGCUUGUUCCCAUAGCAGGAUUUGCCACAAUGCAGGUGCAAGAUCUUGCAUUUGAAUUUAUUGAACCUCAUGAGGUUCACCUGGGCCCACUGCUUGGGCCUACAUAGGUCUCUCCAGGUGGCAUCCUGUUCCUUGAAUGUGUCAACUGCAUCACACAGCUUGGUAUCAUCUAUAGCCUUGCUGAGAGUACACUUGAUCCCACUGUUGAUGACAUUAUGAAGAUGUUAAAGAGCACUAGUCCCAGUACUGACUCCUGAGGGACACCACUUGCCACUGGUCUCCAUCCCGACAUUGAGCCACUGAACACAACUCUCUGGGUACAAUCUCGUAACCAGUUUUUCAUCCACUGAACAGUCCACUUGUCAAAUCCAUAUCCUUCCAAUUUGGAGAGAAGGAUGUUAUGGGGGACUGUGUCAAAGGUCUUACUGAAGUCCAGAUAGAUGACAUCGUUGGCUCUUCCCUUGACUACUGAUGCAGUUACGCCACAUUCUGCUGUAACCUGAAUGUGGUGCCUUCCUAACACUGGCUCCACCUCCUCACACUGGUUCAUCUACAGCAGUUGUUUAAACUGUUGGAGGGAAUACAGUGAAAGACUGAAAUGACAGUGCAAAAUCAAAAGUCUUUUAAACUCCCAGUGCUCUUCUUCGAUCCUCUCCUUUGGUCAUCUUUCCUUCAUUUUGCAAAACACUAGCUUACUGAAUACAAUAGGGACACAUUGCAAAGCACAACCAGCAAGACAGUUGGGAGUAGCUGGGUUUUUUUUUGUUUGGUUGGUUUUGUUUUAAAUACAAAUGGUUCCUAAAAUCAUUUUUGUCAGAAAUAAGGCAGUGGGAAUUAGCUGAUAUCACCCUCAGUAACACUCUGGAUCAUGUAUCUCAAUAAACAGCAGUAUCUUCAUAGAACUAGUAUUCUGAGAUCAUUAAGUAUUAUGUAAUGUAAAUUACAUGAUAGAGUAAGCCAUGAGAUACUGUAAAAGCACACAGAAAAGCAGUGCCCCUCUUCUGAGUGCCUGGACUUACCUUAUGACUGCACAUGCACCACAUGCUUCUUUCAAAGGAUUCAUAACCCACUCUCAAACUAAACUGCUUGUUGUUCAUAUGACAGCAAAAUUCCAAAAGACAUUAAUUUAUGCUACUUAGGCCUAGUCUUAUUUUUGCUGACCUUCAACUUGUUAAAACGUACAGCUACCAUCUUAUGUUCCAGUGUAUCACCACCCUCUGUGUGAAAAACUUCCUCCUAAUGUCUAAUCUAAACCUCCCCUGUGUCAGUUUAAGAUCAUUCCCCCUUGUCCUAUCACUAUCCACCCUUGUAAACAGUGAAACUGUAAAACUGAAUACACAAUUCAGUUCAGAAACCAGGUAUUUUUCUGUUCCCUCCCACUUUAUUUCCAGAUUAUCGUGAUUAAGCUUACACAGAAAUAAAAUGCAGUAAAUAUCAGAGCAACCGCAUAAAGCCAGCAAUGUGAAGACGUUCUGUGCAGGGUGGGAUGAUCUUUCGAGGUCCCUUCCAAUCCCUGACAUGCUGUGAUCCUGUGGAGACCUCAGUACAAACGCAUCGCUCCAGGAUGCCUGGAGGGAGAGCACGGCAGCACUGAGCAGAUGUCCACCACCACUGCUGAGAAGGAUUCAGCCUGGGCCAUCCGCACCAAGCGCAGGUGGCUGCUGUUUCCAGGAGGAAGACGCGUCCCUCACAAUGUGAGCACAUCUGCCAGCAGAGCAUUUGCCGGGGGAGCAGCACGCAGGUGACGCAAACAUCGCCAGAGAUGUUAUUUUUGUGCCAGCCCUCCCACUGCGUUAGUUCAGCGGCUCUCAGCGGCAUUCAGCACGGGAAAGGGGAAGCAACGCUUUCCUAACGUUCACAUAGCAGGGGUCUUUUGCCAUGUUCAUAGAGCUGCCUUACAGAAUCUCUGCCGCUGUGUGACAGCCCCUGCUGCUGCCGUCUGCAGCCGGAGACAUCCUUUAGGAGGAAGUGGGAGUUUCUCUUAUGCAGGAGUGGCAGCACUGUGCUCUUAAAAUUGCUUGCCGUCUGGUGGCGAUAAAAGCACUGAGCUCUGUGGCUGAGUUCAAAGCUUUGCAUCAGUGGUUGGAGACAGCAGAAGGCAGGCUGCAGCCUGCAGCCACAGGGAGUCGUGCCCUGGAGAUGGGGACACAGCUCAUACCUCAUCAUCGUGGCCAGUGGGCAGUCAGCAGCUCAGCCUGGCCGCAUGGUCUCCAAAGCUGGGAAGGCAAACCGCAGCAAGCAGCUGGGCAAGCAGAAAAUACAACACAGCAAGGCUUCUUUUGACCUCCUUCUCACUCGCAUGCAAAGCUGCCUUUACCAGAAAAGUCCCUGGGACAGCGCUUCUUUGGCAGUAUUCUCUGAAUUCCUUGACAUACAACUGAAGUGCUGAGAAUACUACAAUAGUCAUUCAUCACAGUACAAAAGAAGCCAAGUCCAAGUCGUUACAGAAUGUAUCCAGCAGUUGCACUGGUACUGUUUUCACAAGUACAACAAAAAUAUUUCUCGCUGAAAGACAGCAGCAUAGACUGACUAAUAUCAGGUGUGCAAAAUAAAAAAUAAUAAUAAAAAUAAUUAAAAAGAGUAUAACUUG
rnacentral:lncRNA from 1 species